AGCAGCCGCGGUAAUUCCAGCUCCAAUAGCGUAUAUUAAAGUUGUUGCAGUUAAAAAGCUCGUAGUUGAAUUUCGGGAUUGGCGCAUCGGUCGUGCCUUACGGGGUAUGAACUGGUGCAGUCAAUUUCUCACCUUCUGGAGAACCGCGAUGUCCUUAAUUGGGUGCCGCGGGGAACCAGGACCUUUACUUUGAAAAAACUUAGAGUGUUUAAAGCAGGCAUUUUUGCUUGAAUACAUUAGCAUGGAAUAAUAAAAUAGGACGGCAUGGUUCUAUUUUGUUGGUUUCUAGGACCACCGUAAUGAUUAAUAGGGAUAGUUGGGGGCAUUAGUAUUCAAUUGUCAGAGGUGAAAUUCUUGGAUUUAUUGAAGACUAACUACUGCGAAAGCAUUUGCCAAGGAUGUUUUCAUUAAUCAAGAACGAAAGUUAGGGGAUCGAAGACGAUCAGAUACCGUCGUAGUCUUAACCAUAAACUAUGCCGACUAGGAAUCAGACGAUGUUAAUUUUUUCAAUGACUCGUUU
rnacentral:rRNA from 1 species